rnacentral:rRNA from 2 species
CUUUUUGGCAACUCUAGGAGUAGAGCUUUCCCUUCGGGGACAAAGUGACAGGUGGUGCAUGGUUGUCGUCAGCUCGUGUCGUGAGAUGUUGGGUUAAGUCCCGCAACGAGCGCAACCCUUAUUACUAGUUGCCAGCAUUUAGUUGGGCACUCUAGUGAGACUGCCGGUGACAAACCGGAGGAAGGUGGGGACGACGUCAAAUCAUCAUGCCCCUUAUGACCUGGGCUACACACGUGCUACAAUGGAUGGUACAACGAGUUGCGAGACCGCGAGGUUUAGCUAAUCUCUUAAAACCAUUCUCAGUUCGGAUUGUAGGCUGCAACUCGCCUACAUGAAGCCGGAAUCGCUAGUAAUCGCGGAUCAGCAUGCCGCGGUGAAUACGUUCCCGGGUCUUGUACACACCGA